CAGUCGAGCGGAUGAAGGGAGCUUGCUCCCUGAUUCAGCGGCGGACGGGUGAGUAAUGCCUAGGAAUCUGCCUGGUAGUGGGGGACAACGUCUCGAAAGGGACGCUAAUACCGCAUACGUCCUACGGGAGAAAGUGGGGGAUCUUCGGACCUCACGCUAUCAGAUGAGCCUAGGUCGGAUUAGCUAGUUGGUGAGGUAAUGGCUCACCAAGGCGACGAUCCGUAACUGGUCUGAGAGGAUGAUCAGUCACACUGGAACUGAGACACGGUCCAGACUCCUACGGGAGGCAGCAGUGGGGAAUAUUGGACAAUGGGCGAAAGCCUGAUCCAGCCAUGCCGCGUGUGUGAAGAAGGUCUUCGGAUUGUAAAGCACUUUAAGUUGGGAGGAAGGGCAUUAACCUAAUACGUUAGUGUUUUGACGUUACCGACAGAAUAAGCACCGGCUAACUCUGUGCCAGCAGCCGCGGUAAUACAGAGGGUGCAAGCGUUAAUCGGAAUUACUGGGCGUAAAGCGCGCGUAGGUGGUUUGUUAAGUUGAAUGUGAAAUCCCCGGGCUCAACCUGGGAACUGCAUCCAAAACUGGCAAGCUAGAGUAGGGCAGAGGGUGGUGGAAUUUCCUGUGUAGCGGUGAAAUGCGUAGAUAUAGGAAGGAACACCAGUGGCGAAGGCGACCACCUGGGCUCAUACUGACACUGAGGUGCGAAAGCGUGGGGAGCAAACAGGAUUAGAUACCCUGGUAGUCCACGCCGUAAACGAUGUCAACUAGCCGUUGGAAUCCUUGAGAUUUUAGUGGCGCAGC
rnacentral:rRNA from 1 species